CCCUACAGAUUUGAUUCAAGGCCAAAAUCGAAUCCUAACUCUGAAAUUCAAAGCAACCUUCGAAGGCUCAUAGCUCUGAAAAACUUGUUCGUUCUUUUUCUCCUUUCUCUUCUCCCUCUCCCUCUCUAUCCUUCUCUGCCGUCGUUUCUUCUCAUCUUCUCAUUGGUGCAUCAGUAGAGUUACAGCGAUGAAGGUCCUUCUGGUUAUCACUCCAUUUCAAGUCGGCAGUAGUUUCGAAUUCUCAUCGUUAUCAUCUGUUGAAGCUCAGUCAUCAUCGUCGUCCAAGACGAACUGACAGAAACCAAAGAAGCCUCCCCUGUUGCAUUGACAGACCUCAGGCAAAAAUUCCGAACCAGGAUGAACGAACCUAGCAAUGAAAAUGCAAGCAAUUCCAAAGAUGUCAAUGAAACAUCUAUGGCGUCAAGUUCUAGUCGAAGGAGGACUAGAUCUAAAGCUUGGGAACACUUCAAAAAAAUAAGAUUGGAUUUUGGGGAGGAGAAAGCUAUUUGUAUAUAUUGUGGAAAACAAUAUAUGGGUGGAAGUAGUAAAGGGACAAGCCACUUGUUGAGUCAUCUACCAAGAUGACCUAAAAUGAAGGAAAUGUGCACUAGUAAACAACAAGCUGAAGUGGAGUUUAAAUUUGACCAAGAUAGGAGAGAAAUGGAUUCAGCGGAGAUGAUAAUGAAGCAUGAGCAUCCAUUUAGCAUAGUCGAAGAAGAAUUUUUUCAGAUAUUUGUCAAUAAUCUUCAGCCAUCAUUUAGGUUUGUUUCUAGAAAUACAAUAAAGAAUGAUGUCAUGAAGAUUUACAUGGAUGAAAAGGUGAGGUUGUACAAGUACUUUGAUAAUUUGGUUGUCGGAUUAGCUUAACUACUAAUAUGUGGACUUCAGAACAGAAUUUGAGGUGUUGUUGUUUAACAUCACAUUUUAUAGAUGAUGGGUGGGAGCUGAAGAAGAAAGUUAUUGCAUUUAUGACUGUUGAGUGUCCCCAUGAUGGAAACACUCUAUAUGAAGUUGUUAUGGAGAGGUUGUUGACUUGGAACAUUGACAAAAAAAUAUGUUCUAUAAUAGUUGACAAUGCCUCUAACAACGAUGUUAUGGUUAGGGAGCUUAGGAACCGGCUCUGUGUUAAAUGUUCGCUUCUAUUGAAUGGUGACCUAUUUCAUGUGAGAUGUGCUGCUCACAUCUUGAACUUUAUUGUGCAAGAUGAGUUGAGAGAAAUGUUACCAUUGUUGCAUAAGAUUCGAGAAAGUGCUAAAUAUGUAAGACUGACACCCCAUAAGAAGCAAAAAUUUGACAAUGCAAGAAGCCAAGCAAAAGUAUAGCAUAAGAGAGGGAUGGUUGUUGAUUGUCCAACGCGAUGGAACUCUACAUAUGAUAUGUUGGACAUAGCUUUAGAGUUGAAGGAAGCAUUUUGUCGACUAGCCGAGCUUGACCGUGACUAUAAGUAUCUACCGUUUGAUGAGGAAUGGGAGAUGGGGGCAGUGUUACGAGAUUGUUUGCAAGUUUCUUACAUUUGCACAAAAAACUUUUCAAGUACUACUUCCCCAACCUCAAAUGUAUAUUUUCCUGAUAUUUGCACAAUCAAGUUUCUGUUGCUUCAGUGGCUAGAUAGUGAACAUGAGUAUGUUCGUUCAAUGGCAAAUAGAAUGAAGCAAAAAUAUGAUAAAUAUUGGGAUGAAUGUUCUUUGGUGUUUGCGAUUGCCGUUGUACUUGAUCCUAAGUUCAAGAUGGAGAUUGUAACGUAUUACUACAAUCUCAUUUACGGAGAGACUGCUGAGAAACAUGUUACAAGAGUUAGAGAAGCAAUGCAUGACCUAUAUUCAGAGUAUGUGGGUUUUGAUACAGAGGAUAGGUCACUUGUAUGCUCUAGUAUUGCAUCUCAACCAUUGAUGAUUCGUGGUGUUUUAGAUAUUUUGAGCGGUUUUGAUCGGUGGUUGAUUGUAGAGCGUCCGAAAUGUUGUCUAGGGACUCAAAAGUUAGAGUUGGAUCUUUAUCUUGAAGAAAAACUAUUUCCUAGAGGUGAAGAGUUUGAUAUUUUGAGAUUCUGGCGAGUUGAUGGUCUGAAGUUUCCGAAGCUCUCUAGAUUGGCACACAAUAUUUUGGCAUUUCCAGUACCAACUGUAUCAUAUGAGGGAACAUUCAGUACUGGGGGUAGAAUAGUGGAUUAGUAUCGUACUUCAUUACUUCCAGAAACAGUGGAGGCUCUACUUUGUGGGCAAGAUUGGUUAGAAGCUCCAACAACAAAAAAAUUGGAUCUUGAAGCCAUUGCUACCUCUCUUGUAUGUGUGGCUUCUACAACUGACACUAACCGAACAUAUUUCGUUUGAAAGACAACCUUGUUUGUCUCAACAGUAUCAAGGCACCUUCUUGGAUCAGAGCAUUCAUUGUUUGUGUUCUGUUUGUACAUCAAAUUCCUUUGAGCACUACAAGAAAAAUGAUCAAAGCUGGCGGUUUAUAGAUGGUGGUCUUUUAAGACCGCCACUACAACGAGAUUUGAAGUGGGGGUCUUUCUCUUGAAAAACCUAAAUAAAAUAAAAAAUUUUAAAAGUGGCGGUCUUUGCGAAAUGAUACGACGGUUUUAAUCUUUUAACUGGUCUAACCAAAAAACCUCUUCAAACUCUCGCAUUCUCUGCUAUUUGAUUUUGACGGAGAGCUCCAAAACUAGUUUAACCAAAGGUUUGCUUGGUUUUGUUGACCCUGGAAACCCUACAUUUGCAGUCGAGGAUAAAUCCCGUGAACAUGGCGAUCAAAUCUUACCGGCCAAGUUUAUUUGCUAAGUUUGCAGAGGUGAAAUAAUGGAGAUCUCAUCAUGAAUGUUGGAAGAUGUGCUUCCCCUCUUCAUAGCUGAUACAAAGUUAGAAUCUUGCUUCUGAUUGAUAGUUCAGAUCUGCGGUGAUGUUUGAGAUUUCAAAGCUGACAAAGCUAUACCUAUAGAAGAAGCUUUGCUAGGGCUUGACGCCUCCAGAGUCCAGAGAUUCAACAAACUGCUGAUACAUUUCACCGACGAUAUUCUCUUAACUCUGAUGAUAACACAAUCUCCCUUGUAAAUGUAUUUCUUGUGGCUUGAUUGGUGUUAGAUGUUCAAUGCAUAAUUACCACAGUAUAGACUGUCAAAAUGGAUCCUUAAAACACCUUCUCCACUUACAGCUCUCCAUUAAUUGAUGAUAUUGCAGAGGAUGAAUUAGUUA